AACGAACGCUGGCGGCAGGCUUAACACAUGCAAGUCGAGCGCCCCGCAAGGGGAGCGGCAGACGGGUGAGUAACGCGUGGGAAUCUACCCAUCUCUACGGAAUAACGCAUGGAAACGUGUGCUAAUACCGUAUACGUCCUUCGGGAGAAAGAUUUAUCGGAGAUGGAUGAGCCCGCGUUGGAUUAGCUAGUUGGGGGGGUAAAGGCCUACCAAGGCGACGAUCCAUAGCUGGUCUGAGAGGAUGAUCAGCCACACUGGGACUGAGACACGGCCCAGACUCCUACGGGAGGCAGCGGUGGGGAAUAUUGGACAAUGGGCGCAAGCCUGAUCCAGCCAUGCCGCGUGAGUGAUGAAGGCCCUAGGGUUGUAAAGCUCUUUCACCGGUGAAGAUAAUGACGGUAACCGGAGGAGAAGCCCCGGCUAACUUCGUGCCAGCAGCCGCGGUAAUAC
rnacentral:rRNA from 1 species